AUACCAUGAUGAGGACAUUUUCUGUGUAACUCCUUAAAUCUCUCUCAUGCAUCACACAAGCUCUCAUCUUCAAGUUGAUGGAAAGAUGUGAUCUCGUUCCUCAACUU
rnacentral:snoRNA from 1 species